UACAGUGGCGACCGGGUGAGUAACACGUGACUAACCUGCCCUGAAGUGGGGAAUAACUCCGGGAAACCGGAGCUAAUACCGCAUAACACCGCAAGGUCAAAGCAGUAAUGCGCUUUGGGAGGGGGUCGCGGCUGAUUAGUUAGUUGGCAGGGUAAUGGCCUACCAAGACGAUGAUCAGUAUCCGGCCUGAGAGGGCGCACGGACACACUGGAACUGAAACACGGUCCAG
rnacentral:rRNA from 1 species